rnacentral:lncRNA from 1 species
AUGAGGAGCCAAAGCGGUGGGGGGUCGGCCGGGAGAGGCGGCUCGAGCUCCCCGCGCCCAGGGCUGCGCGGCCCAGGGCCCCCAGCCGAGAACCUGCGCCCGCCCUGCCCGCGGGCGAGCCCCGCGCACUGCGCAGCGCCCGCGCUCCUCGCCCCACUCGCAGACGCGCCCGGCAGGACUUUCUCUAGCGGCGGGCAGAGGGCAUGGACCCGCAGAGGGAGGCAGCAGGUCUCCCGGCCGGCGAGCAAGGUCAGAGUCCAGGCCAAGCCGGGGAUAAAGGCUCUGCAGCUCCCCGGACUCCGUCUCACCCUGGGCACCCGGACCCCCGGGUCCCCGGCCUGGGCACUGUCUCUCCACCUCCUCCUAACGCCGCUCGGGCCGCGCAGCCACGAAGCCAGCCUGGAAAACCGAGGGAGACCUGCUCCACGCCCCUCACGCCCUCAGCUCCUCGGGACAGGGCGCCCUCGCCCAGCGGUGACCGAGAACCUCGCUGGGCCCCUCCGAGUGAGAGGACGCGCGCCUUCACCCCCGUCGCAGACGGGCCCUCGGAGGAAAACUCCCUCUCGGGGAUGUGGCGUGCGAAACAGUCCAAGCGCCCGGCUCCGGCCAAGAUGCUAAGCACCGGUACUCAGGAACCGAAGGGAACGGAGGAGGAAGGAGGAGGCAGAUAAAAGAGAAAAAUUAAAUCGGUCGAAGUGUCCCAACUUUGUGGUCGGCGCUGCAAACUUCAAAGGCGAGCGAGGGCUGGCGGCGCGUGGGCGCCGAAGUUGCUGCGAAGUGGAGCGGGGAGAAGCGCGGGGCUGGGGAUCCCGGGCAGCGCAGGGCAGCGGCGGGAGGUCCUUUUAAAAGGCGGGCAGCGUGCGGGGCCGGCCGGCGGGAGGAUGCUGCGGCGCGAGCGGGGCUGGCGCGGGCUCGGCGGGCGGGUGGCCGCUCGGGGCACGGGCGCCGGGCUGGAGCGCGGCGCAGGGACUGCCGGGCGCACCGGGCGGCGGCGGCAGCGGCGGGUGCGAGGUCGCUUCGCUCCGCUCUCUCGCGGCUCCGAGCGGGGAGUGUGUGUUCGCUCCCGAGUGUCACCGCUGAANNNNNNNNNNNNNNNNNNNNCCCGCUGCCCGCCCGCCCCCUCCCUCCUCUGCCCGCUGCCUCCCCCGCCCGCUGCCUCCCCCUCAGUUCCUCCCUCCCUCCCUCCCUCCCGCUGCGCGCCACCGCGCGCGCGCGCAUACACACACACACACACACACACGCACACACUUGCACACACUCGCACACUCCCUACACCCGGCGACCCAGCGCUCCCCGAACAGGGACCCUCGCGGGCGGCAUCGCAGGGGACAUACUGCCCUCCUGACCUCCCCGCCAGUUGUGGGGAAAGAGAAGGAGACCCACCGAGACCCCCUGAAAGCGACAAAACCCAGGGAGACGCGUACGCGGGACCAUCGCACUGUCAGGGAGACCCUGGUGCACAAUAAGGGGGAACUCUGGGGUUGAUUUGGGGGCGGGGUGGGGAGACGAGCUAAAUCAAGAAGGUUGGAGGCGGAGAACAGAGUGUGCAAACUGUGCAUUCAUGUCCCACUUUUCCCCCCGACCGCCUGCCUACCGCAGCCUCCGCCCGCGGAGCGCG